UACAGAGACCUCAAGCGUUAUCCGGAAUCAUUGGGCGUAAAGCGUACCGAUAGGGUGGUUUACCAAGUCAGAAAGUGAAAUCUUAAAGCUUAAACUUUGAGACUGUCUUUUUGAAACUGGUAGACUAGAGGGGCAAAGAGGAAGCUGGAACAAACGGUGUAGUAGUGAAAUGCGUUGAUAUCGUUUUGGAACACCAAUAGCGUAGGCAAGCUUCUGGGUGCCACCUGACACUGCUAGGACGGAAAAGCGAUGGGGGA
rnacentral:rRNA from 1 species